UCUUCAUUCUGCACUCUCUCUCUCUCACCGGUCAGAGAGGCGAGAGAGUGUGCGAAAUGAAGAGA
rnacentral:pre_miRNA from 1 species